rnacentral:rRNA from 1 species
UACGAAGGGGGCUAGCGUUGUUCGGAAUUACUGGGCGUAAAGCGCACGUAGGCGGACUACUAAGUCAGGGGUGAAAUCCCGGGGCUCAACCCCGGAACUGCCUUUGAUACUGGUAGUCUCGAGUCCGGAAGAGGUGAGUGGAAUUCCGAGUGUAGAGGUGAAAUUCGUAGGUAUUCGGAGGAACACCAGUGGCGAAGGCGGCUCACUGGUCCGGUACUGACGCUGAGGUGCGAAAGCGUGGGGAGCAAACAGG